AAAUAGGAUUGGGCAUCUAGAACCGGUUCCAACAUGGAAUCCUUUUUAAAAAUUACAAUCCCAAUGGAAUCAUUGUUUUAUUGACA